rnacentral:lncRNA from 1 species
AUGAAGGAAAGUUUUGGGAAGAAUUCUUCAUCCCAUCCUCAAGGGCCAGUGGGAAUUUUCAUGCUGGUUGGAAGUAAGAUUGCAGUUGCAUGGAAUUCUUGCCACUUCACCAAGGAAUACCUGGUUUUGUCACUUUUACCAACUCCCUUUUCUGAGAAGAAACAUUGAUGGCCUCUCAAGGUAAUGAUGGAUCCUAGAAGGGAAGAAAAACUGUCUAUGCCUUUGCCUUUCUUGAAUGCUAUCUCCAAAGAGUGAGUUGACAACUUAAUUUAAGUCACUGGUUCUCCAU